rnacentral:pre_miRNA from 1 species
CAAUUUGGUUCGGCUGUUGGGGUCUCGAUUCGAAAGCCCUACGAGCGCACUGGUAUAUAAGUACAUGGUCCAUGGAUACCUCCAUAAAUUUUAAUGGAUAUCUUAAGAACUGUCCCACCUCUUUCUCAGCAAAUAGAAAUUUAUGAAGGUAACCAUUGACCAGGUACUCAUAUACCAGUGCGCUUGUCGGGCUUUCGAAUCAAUACCCCAACAAAGUGGGAACAAUUG